rnacentral:misc_RNA from 1 species
UCACCCCUCAAGCCCGGCUUGUUGUUGGACGCGGCGGCGGCCUCUUCGCGCCCCGCCCGUCUCAAAGAUAAUGACGGCGUCUGUGAGGACUCCUGUACACUGAGCUUUCGGGCACGUACUAGGCCAGCACUCCAGACACCGGUCACCGUCUCUUUACUGGGACACUUUUUACCACAA